rnacentral:lncRNA from 1 species
CAUUUUAGUAAGUCUCGACCAUAAUCUAAAAAUACAUGUCCACUGAGAUAUAAUACUGGGCAUCCAACCCAUAUCUCCAUAUAAGGCUAAGUUAGGGGUGUAUUUACCCACACCCAUAAAAAAUCUCAUUGCUCUAUUUUUUACAGCAUUAAUACAAGAAAAAUCCUGGUGACCCCAAAUUGAGGCACCGUAUUCAAUGACAGACAUAACAAGUGUAUCAAAAAGUUUUGUAAAUGUAUCAAAUUGAAAACCGCCAUUAGCUUUACAUUUAGCUAUUAAUAAACCUAAAGACCUACUUGCAGAUUUAGCUACUGCCUUAGCCAUACAAUUGUAGUCUAAAAAUUCUGACAACAGUAAACCUAGAUAAGUAUAACUAGGAACAAUUUCCAUAUCAUUAUUAUUAAGUACAAAAGUAAAAUUUGUCUUUGGUGUAGACUUAGUUCUGAAAUGUACAAUUUUUGAUUUCUCUAGAUUUACAACUAAAUCAUUUUUACAACAC